UGCAGUCGACGGCAGCACGGGAGCAUCCUGGUGGCGAGUGGCGAACGGGUGAGUAAUACAUCGGAACGUGCCCAGUAGUGGGGGAUAACCCGGCGAAAGCCGGACUAAUACCGCAUACGACCUACGGGUGAAAGCAGGGGAUCGCAAGACCUUGCGCUAUCGGAGCGGCCGAUGUCAGAUUAGCUUGUUGGCGGGGUAAAAGCCCACCAAGGCGACGAUCUGUAGCUGGUCUGAGAGGACGACCAGCCACACUGGGACUGAGACACGGCCCAGACUCCUACGGGAGGCAGCAGUGGGGAAUUUUGGACAAUGGGCGCAAGCCUGAUCCAGCCAUGCCGCGUGCAGGAUGAAGGCCUUCGGGUUGUAAACUGCUUUUGUACGGAACGAAACGGCCCUUUCUAAUAAAGGGGGCUAAUGACGGUACCGUAAGAAUAAGCACCGGCUAACUACGUGCCAGCAGCCGCGGUAAUACGUAGGGUGCAAGCGUUAAUCGGAAUUACUGGGCGUAAAGCGUGCGCAGGCGGUUAUGUAAAAGAUGUGAAAUCCCGAGCUUAACUUUGGAACUGCAUUUUUAACUACGAGCUAGAGUGUGCAGGAGUGGAAUUCCGUG
rnacentral:rRNA from 1 species